rnacentral:rRNA from 1 species
UAGUCUGCAACUCGACUACAUGAAGCUGGAAUCGCUAGUAAUCGCAGAUCAGAAUGCUGCGGUGAAUACGUUCCCGGGUCUUGUACACACCGCCCGUCACACCAUGGGAGUCGGAAAUGCCCGAAGCCGGUGACCCAACCAAAAGGAGGGAGCCGUCGAGGGCAGGUCUGAUAACUGGGGUGAAGUCGUAACAAGGUAAC